ACCCUUAUGUUUUUAAAGCAGUGUCUCUAUGAAUUAUAUUUUAAAAGGAGGCACAUAAUUCCUAGAGACACUGCUUUAAAAACAUAAGGG